rfam:TPA: Bos taurus chromosome 1, whole genome shotgun sequence.
UCCUGGUGGCUCAGAGAUUAAAGCAUCUGCCUGCAAUGCAGGAGACCUGGGUUCAAUCCCAGGAUCGGGAA